AGGCCUAACACAUGCAAGUCGAACGCCCCUUCGGGGGAGUGGCGGACGGGUGAGUAACGCGUGGGAACGUGCCCUUUGGUACGGAACAACUGAGGGAAACUUCAGCUAAUACCGUAUGUGCCCCCAUUCUUAGCGGGAUGGGUGGGAAAGAUUUAUCGCCAUUGGAGCGGCCCGCGUUAGAUUAGCUAGUUGGUAGGGUAAUGGCCUACCAAGGCGACGAUCUAUAGCUGGUCUGAGAGGAUGAUCAGCCACACUGGGACUGAGACACGGCCCAGACUCCUACGGGAGGCAGCAGUGGGGAAUCUUGCGCAAUGGGCGAAAGCCUGACGCAGCCAUGCCGCGUGAAUGAUGAAGGUCUUAGGAUUGUAAAAUUCUUUCACCGGGGACGAUAAUGACGGUACCCGGAGAAGAAGCCCCGGCUAACUUCGUG
rnacentral:rRNA from 1 species